AGUGAACGCUGGCGGUAGGCCUAACACAUGCAAGUCGAACGGCAGCACAGAGGAGCUUGCUCCUUGGGUGGCGAGUGGCGGACGGGUGAGGAAUACAUCGGAAUCUACUCUGUCGUGAGGGAUAACGUAGGGAAACUUACGCUAAUACCGCAUACGACCUACGGGUGAAAGCAGGGGAUCUUCGGACCUUGCGCGAUUGAAUGAGCCGAUGUCGGAUUAGCUAGUUGGCGGGGCAAAGGCCCACCAAGGCGACGAUCCGUAGCUGGUCUGAGAGGAUGAUCAGCCACACUGGAACUGAGACACGGUCCAGACUCCUACGGGAGGCAGCAGUGGGGAAUAUUAGACAAUGGGCGCAAGCCUGAUCCAGCCAUACCGCGUGGGUGAAGAAGGCCUUCGGGUUGUAAAGCCCUUUUGUUGGGAAAGAAAUCCAUCUGGUUAAUACCCGGGUGGGAUGACGGUACCCAAAGAAUAAGCACCGGCUAACUUCGUGCCAGCCGCCGCCGUAA
rnacentral:rRNA from 1 species